GCCUGGGGAGUACGGCCGCAAGGUUAAAACUCAAAUGAAUUGACGGGGGCCCGCACAAGCGGUGGAGCAUGUGGUUUAAUUCGAUGCAACGCGAAGAACCUUACCUGGUCUUGACAUCCACGGAAGUUUUCAGAGAUGAGAAUGUGCCUUCGGGAACCGUGAGACAGGUGCUGCAUGGCUGUCGUCAGCUCGUGUUGUGAAAUGUUGGGUUAAGUCCCGCAACGAGCGCAACCCUUAUCCUUUGUUGCCAGCGGUUAGGCCGGGAACUCAAAGGAGAC
rnacentral:rRNA from 1 species